AUCGCUUCUCGGCCUUUUGGCUAAGAUCAAGUGUAGUAUCGUGUUUUAUCAGUUUAAUAUCUGAUACGUCCCCUACCCGGGGACCAUAUUAUUAAAUUGAUUUUUGGAACAGGGAGAUGGAAUAGGGGCUUGCUCCGUCCACUCCACGCAUCGACCUUGUAUUGCAGUACUUCCAGGAACGGUGCACCCCCU
rnacentral:snRNA from 1 species